GACGAACGCUGGCGGCGUGCUUAACACAUGCAAGUCGAACGGAAAGGCCCUGCGCUUGUGGGUUGCUCGAGUGCCGAACGGGUGAGUGACACGUGAGUAACCUGCCCUUUACUUUGGGAUAACUUCCGGAAACUGGGGCUAAUACAGCAUAUGAGAUCCUGCUGCAUGGUGGGGGUUGGUAAGUUUCGGCGGUAGGUGAUGGAUUAGCGGCUUAUCAGCUUGCUGGGGGGGUAGUGGCUUACCAAGGCUUUGACGGGUAGCCGGCCUGAGAGGGUGACCGGCGACCAUAGGACUGCGGGAGGGCGCAGACUCCUACGGGACGCAGUGGAGGGGAGUAUUGCGGAGUGAGGGGGAGCGUGAUGAAGCAACGUCGCGUUCGGGAUGAUGGGCUUUGGGGUGUAAACCGCUUACGCAUUAGAUGGAGUGUGAGUGACGGUAACGGACAAGGAAGCAACGGCUAACUACGUG
rnacentral:rRNA from 1 species